UUUGGAUGUGAUAAGAAAAUGUUGAUCACACAAAAUUUUAUCAAUUGCUAUUCUUCAUCUACCAAUUUUUCUUAUAUUUUUUUGAAAUAUAGAAAAAGAAGAUUGAGUACUAAACAUUCAACAAUUUCAUUUGCAAAAAAGAGAGAAUUUUCUGAGAAAUCAAAAGUUGAAGAAAACGCAAUUUCAUCAUUGAAAAUUCCAAGAAAUUUUCUUAUUCAAGCUGUUGUUGGAGUUUUUGCUUUGGGGUUCAUUGAUGCAGGGUAUAGUGGAGAUUGGUCAAGAAUUGGAGUGAUCUCAAAGGAUAAUGAAGAUUUACUGAAAAUUGCAGCAUUUUUAAUAGUACCAUUGUGUCUCUUUGUGAUAUUUUCUUUCUCUAAGAAAAUUGAAGAAUGAAAGCGUUUU